rnacentral:rRNA from 1 species
UAAGGAAUAUUGGACAAUGGGCGCAAGCCUGAUCCAGCAAUGCCGCGUGCAGGAUGAAGGCCUUCGGGUUGUAAACUGCUUUUGUACGGAGCGAAAAGGUCUGCCCUAAUACGGUGGGCUCAUGACGGUACCGUAAGAAUAAGCACCGGCUAACUACGUGCCAGCAGCCGCGGUAAUACGUAGGGUGCGAGCGUUAAUCGGAAUUACUGGGCGUAAAGCGUGCGCAGGCGGUUAUAUAAGACAGAUGUGAAAUCCCCGGGCUCAACCUGGGACCUGCAUUUGUGACUGUAUAGCUAGAGUACGGUAGAGGGGGAUGGAAUUCCGCGAGUAGCAGUGAAAUGCGUAGAUAUGCGGAGGAACACCGAUGGCGAAGGCAAUCCCCUGGGCCUGUACUGACGCUCAUGCACGAAAGCGUGGGGAGCAAACA